GAGUUUGAUCCUGGCUCAGGAUGAACGCUGGCGGCGUGCCUAAUACAUGCAAGUCGAGCGAACGGACGAGAAGCUUGCUUCUCUGAUGUUAGCGGCGGACGGGUGAGUAACACGUGGAUAACCUACCUAUAAGACUGGGAUAACUUCGGGAAACCGGAGCUAAUACCGGAUAAUAUUUUGAACCGCAUGGUUCAAAAGUGAAAGACGGUUUUGCUGUCACUUAUAGACGGAUCCGCGCUGCAUUAGCUAGUUGGUAAGGUAACGGCUUACCAAGGCAACGAUGCAUAGCCGACCUGAGAGGGUGAUCGGCCACACUGGAACUGAGACACGGUCCAGACUCCUACGGGAGGCAGCAGUAGGGAAUCUUCCGCAAUGGGCGAAAGCCUGACGGAGCAACGCCGCGUGAGUGAUGAAGGUCUUCGGAUCGUAAAACUCUGUUAUUAGGGAAGAACAUAUGUGUAAGUAACUGUGCACAUCUUGACGGUACCUAAUCAGAAAGCCACGGCUAACUACGUGCCAG
rnacentral:rRNA from 1 species